GAUGAACGCUGGCGGCGUGCCUAAUACAUGCAAGUCGAGCGAACAGACGAGGAGCUUGCUCCUCUGACGUUAGCGGCGGACGGGUGAGUAACACGUGGAUAACCUACCUAUAAGACUGGGAUAACUUCGGGAAACCGGAGCUAAUACCGGAUAAUAUAUUGAACCGCAUGGUUCAUUAGUGAAAGACGGUUUUGCUGUCACUUAUAGAUGGAUCCGCGCUGCAUUAGCUAGUUGGUAAGGUAACGGCUUACCAAGGCAACGAUGCGUAGCCGACCUGAGAGGGUGAUCGGCCACACUGGAACUGAGACACGGUCCAGACUCCUACGGGAGGCAGCAGUAGGGAAUCUUAGGCAAUGGGCGAAAGCCUGACGGAGCAACGCCGCGUGAGUGAAGAAGGUCUUCGGAUCGUAAAACUCUGUUAUUAGGGAAGAACAAAUGUGUAAGUAACUAUGCACGUCUUGACGGUACCUAAUCAGAAAGCCACGGCUAACUACGUG
rnacentral:rRNA from 1 species